rnacentral:RNase_P_RNA from 1 species
GCAGAAGAACAGGUGAUCGCCGGCCGCAAGGCGGGAGGAAAGUCCGAGCUCCACAGGGCAGGGUGCCGGGUAACGCCCGGUGAGGGUGACCUCAAGGACAGUGCAACAGAAAACAGACCGCGGGCGCUUCGGCGCACGCAAGGGUGAAACGGCGGGGUAAGAGCCCACCGCGCUGACGGUAACGCCAGCGGCAAGGCAAACCCCACCCGGAGCAAGGCCGCGUAGAGGGACGAUGCGCCGAAAGGCGUGGAAGGGUCGCCCGCCCGAGUCCCAGGGUUGGCUGCUGAUGAGACGUCCCGGCAACGGGCGUCCUAGAGGAAUGAUCGCUGCUGCACCGUGGGCGACCGCGGCGCAGAACAGAACUCGGCUUAUGAUCUCCUGCGACC